AGUUAAAAGGGGGUUGAAGACCAAGUUUUUUUGAGAUCAAGAAUAAAAGUUUUGUUGGUUUUAAGAAUGGAUAUGAAAAGACUAUGUUUUUAUUGUCAGAGCAAUUUUGGAGAAAUAGGGAAGAGGAGUAGGCGGGUAGUGAGAAAAUGGGUAAGAAAGGCAAUGGAAGAGUGUAGGAGAAGAAUAUUGAUGUAGGGGAAGAGAGAGAAGAGGUGCGCUAUAUCUUUGAUCAUUGAAAGCUACUUUUGUCACUCAAAAUUCGCAGGAUCAUUGUAAGCUACUUUUGUAUUACGAUCUCUUUUCUGUAAGCUGUUGAUCAUAAUGAGGUGUGCUAUAUCUUUGAUUUAUUUCUAUUCGCUGCCCCUUUAACUUUUCAGCCUGACUGACCGAACCCACUUAUAGCAACAAAAUGAGCGAUUUUUCAACGAGUAUCGUUCCCAAUAACAAAAUUUCAAGUGCUGGUAGUCGCAAAUCUUCUUCUACCACUGGCCUUUCUAGGUUUUCCCUGAAUCUGCUUAUACGUUACAUUGAGAAUGUUUUGUCUGCUAUCACCAACCAGGGUUUGGAGUGCACAAAAAUGGGCGGUGGAACACAGCUAAGGGGUUUCGUGCAGCCUGUUACCUCAGAUUUUUCUAAGUUGUUUGAAGGCAUUUCAGAGGGGGCAAAAAUGUUUUCGGAUCAGUGGGGCUUUUGGCGAUAGCUAAUGUUUUAGAACGAUUCGACAACAUUUCUGCAAAUGACAGAAAUUGCAUCGACCUUCUCAAAGAUAUGGUUAAGCUAGGUAAAUAUCUGAAGCUAAUGAAAGAUCUCAAUGUUAAAUUCCACAAAGAGGUUUUGGACGAUAUGCGUGAAGCUGUUCAAUUGAUACUUUCUGGUGCGAUUUUAUGUCGUUCCUCUAUCACAUCGAAUAAAUUAUCCAACUAAGUCAUCAACAAGGUAUUUGUUUCCAUGCAUUCGCUGAUAAAUUUAUCUGCCCAAAAGAUACAGAGCAUUGUUCUGUUGUGUUGACUUCCUAAAAUGCCAAGAUAAUAGUAAUGAGGUCAAUGGGUAUAAACAACUGAAAAUUCCAAUAUGUAUCUCUUUCCAGCUGGGUAAAUUUCUUAGAAAAAGAAUUCAAACUAUGCUUGGAUCGCGGUCAAAAUUUUCCCUUCGUCUAGAAUUACAAAUGAUUGUGAAAGGAGAUGCAAUUAUCUCAAAUUGAAUUCAAAUUCGACAAAUUGCACAAGGCAACAAAAGGGUUUAGUCAAAUAAUAGGAGAAGGAACUUUUGGGUCUAUAUACAGCAGGGAAACCUGUUUGAUGGAAGAUGAGUGGCAGUGAAGGUCACAGCAAUUAAUAGCCUAAUAGGGGUGAUUGCGAAAUCGACUGGAUGAACGAGCUAAAAAAGCUACAACAUCGAAACAUCGUAGAGCUCAUGGGAUAUUGCUUUGACAAUAUAAUGUUAGUCUAUGAUUAUAAGCGAUGAGACCUGGACAGAAUUAUUCUUGAAGAAGAUGAGAUGAUUAUUGACUGGCCAACCAGACACAAGAUUAUAUUGGACAUGAUAAGGGGACUAUGUUCACAAGGUUGCAGAUGUCUAUAUGGUGCACAGAGACAUCAAACCCUCCAACAUUCUCUUUUGGAUGAGAAUUCGAAUGUCAAGCUUUUUGAUUUUGGAAUCUCUCAAAUACUGCAGUCGAGUAAUGCUCAAUAUGCCAACAAGGAUAUAAGUAUUGAAACGUCUUUUGCUGGAACACUGUAAGAUCGCCUAUCAUCUAGAACUUAAUAACAAUGAAAAAGGUUAUUGCAUGUGGUCGGGAAAUUCUUGGGGAAAAGUAGACUUUUUAUUUUGAGCAACUGAUCAAUGUAUGUUACUUCUUGUUUGGCCCUGCAAAGGUUACAUAGAUCCCGACUACGAGAAAACUUCUCGUUUGACUUUGAAGUAAGACAUUUACAGCUUUGGAAUGCUGCUGUUAAAUGUUGUAUCUGGCAAACGACAUAUUGUUGUAGAGCCCGAUAUCUUCUUUCUCAUCAAAGAAGCAUGGAGGUUACAUGAAGAAGAUCGCCUUACUAGCGAUGCUGUCAUCAGAAGAGGAGAUUCCAAAACCCAGACUAGAUCAAUCAUUUUACGAAUACUACUCUAAAGAUCAGAUUUCUCCUUGCAUAUCACCUGCAAAAUCUUGUGUUGCUAAAUCCUCUGUUGCUGAUGAGUACCAUUCCUCAGAGCAAGAGAUUCCCAUCUCUACCUCACCAGUUUUUGGUGACAAUUUCUUAGAAGAGGAGUUUUUCAGUUCCAUCAUAACACUUGAGCUCUCUAGUGCUGAUUGUAAUUUGUCACAAGAGGAGAAUUGGAUACCUACCUUUUCUCCCAUACUCUCUAGUGCUGAUUAUAAUUUUUCACAGGAAGAGAAUUGGAUGCCUACCCCACAAAUUAAAUCUUUUGUUGCUGAUGACCACUACUGAGAAGCGGAGAUUCCCACUCCCACCUCACUGCUUGAAUCCUCAGAAGAGGAGAUUCUCAUUGCCUCCCCACAAGUUAAAUCCUCUGUUGCUUAUGACAAUUCCCUAGUUCAGAAAAUUGAAGAAUCAGAUAGGAAAUGGUCAGGUGCAUCUCUUAAAACAUUAAGAAUACUGUGUGUAUUUUCACU